UGAACAAGGAUUUCAGCCAAUCACAGGACGCAUGGCAGCAGAUAAUCAGCCAAUGGCAGCUCCGCAGAAGCAUGCUUUGAAUCAUCGUUGACCGUAGGCGUGUGAUCAGACUUGCUGUGCAAGCCAUGAACUUUCUGCUGUGAAUCACUGAGGGAACAACAGAGGAAGGUUGAGGAAAAAACACCACAGAGGUUCUGUGUGUGUGUGUGUGUGUGUGUGUGUGUGUGUGUGUGUGUGUGUGAGCAUGCAGCUCUCGAAUGCUUACCCUCGUGAACAACUGCUUUAGCCAAAGAGGAGGCGAAUUCUCUGCCGCCUCAGCCAAUCACAGGCAGUGUCUGAAGACAGAGCAAGGCAUGCAACUCGCUGGAACCGGGGGCUCUGAUCGUACCCCAGAGAUUGAAGAGACAGCUCCCCCUCAACUUCCUGGUUCCGACCACCAAGCAUCUGUCCAUCCAUCCGUCCAUCCGCCCAUAACUCUCUUUCCUCCUCUCAUACCUUCACCCCUUCUCCC